rnacentral:rRNA from 1 species
GAUGAACGCUGGCGGCGUGCUUAACACAUGCAAGUCGAACGGAGAUAUCAUUUUCGAAGCGAUUAGUUUACUAAGAGCGGAGAUGUUGCUAUCUUAGUGGCGGACGGGUGAGUAACGCGUGGGUAACCUGCCUUGCACUGGGGGAUAACACUUAGAAAUAGGUGCUAAUACCGCAUAACAGGAGAAGAUGCAUGUCUUUUCCUUGAAAACUCCGGUGGUGUAAGAUGGACCCGCGUCUGAUUAGCUUGUUGGCGGGGUAACGGCCCACCAAGGCGACGAUCAGUAGCCGGCCUGAGAGGGUGAACGGCCACAUUGGGACUGAGACACGGCCCAA